AGCGUUAUGGUGGAAGAGAACCCGGCAGAAGCCGGGGAAAACCUACGACCAUGCGCAGGUUGCUGGUAGACCUUCCACUUAGGGCCGAAGAGGAAGCCAGCAUGAGCUGGACUUGAGCGCGAUAACCAACUGGGCGUAUGGGCGUAUAGAUGCAAUCAUAAUGCACGAGAGUUGCCGCGGAAUUCAGUAGACUGUACAACAGAAAAACUUGUGAAAUCAUCAUACUUUUCUUUGGUGGCCAGUACAAUUUUGUGUAACUGGGUCCUGUUCGCGGGAAAAUAUACUGAACACUUUUUGUUGUAAACAGAAAGAAUGUGGGACUAGAGGCGCGUGUGUCCUGUCAACACCACGUGUGAAAAGGUCAACUGGGCGGGGCUUGAAAGAAAUGUGUGUCUUUGCUCAGCUGGAGCACAAAGGUCUGCUAAAGGACAGUGUCUAGACAUCGACGAAUGUGAAAGAAAGACAGACCUAUGUGGCAACAACUCUGUUUGUGAAAACACGAUGGGCAACUUCAGGUGCACUUGUGCAGAGGGAUACAGACAGAGAGAGGGUGAGAAGAUGGGAUGCAAUCUCGAUAUUGAUGAGUGUACUGACAAUCAGGCAUAUGUGGUAACAACUCAGCUUGUGUAAACACAGUGGGCAACUACACGUGCGCGUGUGCGGAGGGAUACAGGCAGAGGGAGGGUGAAGAUGUGGGAUGCAAUGUAGGUAAGAAAAUAUAAGGUACCAGCCGACGAAAGGACAGAUUAAGGCGGUUCUCCGCCUGUCCACAUCCACAGUACAAUGUGGUGUUAGACCCUGAUCCGUUAUCCAUUUAAUCGCCCAAUGUGUUGAAAUGUUUAUGGCGCUG